GAUGAACGCUAGCGGCAGGCAUAAUACAUGCAAGACGAACGGUAACUUGAGUAGCAAUACUUGAGCUAGAGUGUCGUACGGGUGCGUAACACGUAUGCAACCUACCUUUUACAGGAGUAUAGCUCCCCGAAAGGGGAAUUAACCCUCCAUAAUAUCAUUGGAUGGCAUCAUUUGAUGAUUAAAACUGAGGUGGUAAAAGAUGGGCAUGCGUCUGAUUAGUUAGUUGGCAGUGUAACGGACUACCAAGACGAUGAUCAGUAGGGGACCUGAGAGGUUGAUCCCCCACACUGGCACUGAGAUACGGGCCAGACUCCUACGGGAGGCAGCAGUAGGGAAUAUUGGACAAUGGGUGCAAGCCUGAUCCAGCCAUGCCGCGUGCAGGAAGAAAGCCUUCUGGGUUGUAAACUGCUUUUGCCAGGGGAUAAAACACUUUGCGAAGUGGAUUGAAGGUACCUGGUGAAUAAGCCACGGCUAACUACGUGCC
rnacentral:rRNA from 1 species